AGUGAACGCUGGCGGCAGGCCUAACACAUGCAAGUCGAACGGCAGCACAGUAAGAGCUUGCUCUUACGGGUGGCGAGUGGCGGACGGGUGAGGAAUACAUCGGAAUCUACUUUUUCGUGGGGGAUAACGUAGGGAAACUUACGCUAAUACCGCAUACGACCUACGGGUGAAAGCAGGGGAUCUUCGGACCUUGCGCGAUUGAAUGAGCCGAUGUCGGAUUAGCUAGUUGGCGGGGUAAAGGCCCACCAAGGCGACGAUCCGUAGCUGGUCUGAGAGGGUGAUCAGCCACACUGGAACUGAGACACGGUCCAGACUCCUACGGGAGGCAGCAGUAGGGAAUAUUGGACAAUGGGCGCAAGCCUGAUCCAGCCAUACCGCGUGGGUGAAGAAGGCCUUCGGGUUGUAAAGCCCUUUUGUUGGGAAAGAAAAGCAGCAGGUUAAUACCCCGCUGUUCUGACGGUACCCAAAGAAUAAGCACCGGCUAACUUCGUG
rnacentral:rRNA from 1 species